rnacentral:tRNA from 1 species
GCCGGGGUGGCUCANCUGGAGGAGCGCCGGACUCAUAAUCCGGAGGUCUCGGGUUCGAUCCCCGAUCCCGGCACCA